AUCCAGCUGACGAGUGCCAAAAAUGACGAAACGCGUGUCCUGGAU
rfam:Schistosoma rodhaini strain Burundi genome assembly, scaffold: SROB_scaffold0000042